UACGUAGGGGGCAAGCGUUGUCCGGAUUUAUUGGGCGUAAAGAGCGUGUAGGCGGCUUGACAGGUCUGCUGUGAAAACUCGAGGCUCAACCUCGAGAUGUCGGCGGAAACCGUCUGGCUAGAGUCCGGAAGAGGUAAGUGGAAUUCCGAGUGUAGAGGUGAAAUUCGUAGAUAUUCGGAGGAACACCAGUGGCGAAGGCGGCUUACUGUUCCAUUACUGACGCUGAGGUGCGAAAGCGUGGGGAGCAAACAGG
rnacentral:rRNA from 1 species